UGAGGGACCAUGGCCACUGCUCCUUCAGGGCUGGCCAGCUCCCCAUCCCAACAGUGAAGGCUACCAGCAAGCCCUGCUCUGUCCCUUGAGCCAUUUGGGAUUUAAUUUCCCACCCUUUUAUGACUUGUCUGUGCUACUGUAAAUCCUGGAAGGUGAAGCUACGCUAGUUCCUGCACAGAGAGCCAGAGAAUUGAGGAAAGGAUGCAGUGGAGAGAAAUCAAAGCCUUUGCUGAAAAUCCUCAUCUCUACUCAGUUUGGACUGCCCAGUUGGAGUGUCCAGGCUCUGAGCAGAUAAUUUAAGUGUGGAACCCAAAGCCCUCAAGUAACUGUUAUUUCUUAACAAGAUGCUGUGAAAGAGGAGAAUAAGUGAAAAAACCCUUGCAAAACUGGCUUUUUCAGCCAUCAAUGGCAGGUCUGCUACAAAAGAUGCUCCAAGGCCAUUUUUAACCUUUUUGUCCUUUCACUCUCUGGGUGCUGCACAGCAGCUUCCUUUCCAGGUAAAUAUCUGGCUGUCAAGGCUGCAGGAAAAAGCACGAACCCAAGCACGCCCUGGAGUUAAAAACCCGACUAAACAAACUCUUAAAAACAGGUUGCAGUGUCUGAAAAGCAAGCAGACAUUAUGUCAUCCUGCAGCAGGAAUAUGUUCUUCAUUUGACUGAGUGCUCAGCUGUUGGACAAGUGGAGGAGGGAAAGGUGAAAUUCAAGCUACCAAAUGAAAAGGAAUGCUCCAAAAUCCAGACAUUUUUAAUGCUUGCCCUGGCAGGAUUACAAAUGAAACUGUUGCUGCACAGAUGUUGUGAACUGCCCUAAUUCAAAACCAGCACUCUCCUUGAUCACAAACAAAAUUUAGAGUUUUUCUCUAAAAUUAUUUAAUGUUUUAAUUGCACAGCAUGUACUAAAAUCCUGACAGGACAAUAAUUCCAAAUUGAUUCUUCUGGUCUUUAGUAAUCUCUAGCUGCAUGCUCUUAUGGUUUGAUGAGGACUGCACAAAAGAUUUAGAAGUUCAUUCCAUGGUUUUAAAUGUACAGAGAAAGG